UACGGAGGAUGCGAGCGUUAUCCGGAUUUAUUGGGUUUAAAGGGUGCGCAGGCGGCACGGCAAGCCGGCGGUCAAAUCGCGGGGCUCAACCUCUUCCCGCCGUUGAAACUGGUGGUCUUGAGUGGAUGAGAAGUACGCGGAAUGCGUGGUGUAGCGGUGAAAUGCAUAGAUAUCACGCAGAACUCCGAUUGCGAAGGCAGCGUACCGGCAUCCAACUGACGCUGAGGCACGAAAGCGUGGGGAUCAAACAGG
rnacentral:rRNA from 1 species